rnacentral:rRNA from 1 species
ACCGAUAGCGCAUAGUACCGUGAGGGAAAGGUGAAAAGAACCCCUGGCGGGGAGUGAAAGAGAACCUGAAACCGUAUGUCUACAAACAGUCGAAGUCUGUAUAUAUAUCAGGACGACGGCGUGCCUAUUGAAGAAUGAACCGACGAGUUACUGUUGCUAGCGAGGUUAAGUGGAAAACAUGGAGCCGCAGCGAAAGCGAGUCUGAACAGGGCGUUCAGUUAGUAAUAGUAGACCCGAAACCGUAGUGAUCUAUCCAUGGCCAGGUUGAAGCACAGGUAAAAUUGUGUGGAGGACCGAACUCGUGAGCGUUGAAAAGCUUUGGGAUGAGUUGUGGAUAGGGGUGAAAUGCCAAUCGAACACGGAGAUAGCUGGUUCUCCCCGAAAUAGCUUUAGGGCUAGCCUCGAGGUAGAGAGUAUAGGCGGUAGAGCACUGAUCGGGCUAGGGGCCAUACCGGUUACCGAACCUAGUCAAACUACGAAUGGCUAUACUUAUACUCGGGAGUCAGACAGUGAAUGAUAAGGUCCAUUGUCAAGAGGGAAACAGCCCAGAACACCGACUAAGGUCCCCAAUGUUACACUAAGUGGCGAAGGAUGUGGAAUUUCCAAAACAACCAGGAUGUUGGCUUAGAAGCAGCCACCAUUUAAAGAGUGCGUAAUAGCUCACUGGUCGAGAGACUCUGCGCCGAAAAUGUCCGGGGCUAAAGUGUAAAACCGAAGUCGUGUCAUAUGCAGCAAUGUAUAUGGGUAGGGGAGCGUUCUCAUCGGGCUGAAGCAGUACCGUAAGGAGUUGUGGACUGAUGAGAAGUGAGAAUGUCGGUAUGAGUAGCGAAAAGAAUGGUGAGAAUCCAUUCCACCGAAAGCCUAAGGGUUCCUGAGCAACGAUCGUCGUCUCAGGGUAAGUCGGGACCUAAGCCGAGGCGGAACAGCGUAGGCGAUGGACAACAGGUUGAAAUUCCUGUACCGGUGUGAAUCGUUUGAUCGAUGGAGUGACACAGUAAGGUAGGUCAGCACGCGAUUGGAAGAGCGUGUUUAAGCAGGUAGGUUGAGCUAUAGGCAAAUCCGUAGCUCUAAAAGCUGAGAUGUGAUGACGAGUGACUAGCAAUAGUCGCGAAGUGAUUGAUCCUACACUGUCGAGAAAAGCUUCUAGGUAGAGACACAUCGCCCGUACCAAAACCGACACAGGUAGGCGGGGAGAGAAUCCUAAGGUGCGCGGGAAAACCCUCGUUAAGGAACUCGGCAAAAUGCCUCCGUAACUUCGGGAAAAGGAGGACUCAUGUAGUGUGAAGAGCAGAAGCGCUUGGAGCAUGAAUGAGUGGCACAAGAGAGGCGCAAGCGACUGUUUACCACAAACACAGGUGCCUGCUAAAGCGAAAGCUGAUGUAUAGGUGCUGACACCUGCCCGGUGCUGGAAGGUUAAGAGGAGGGGUUAGACUUCGGUCGAAGCUCUGAAUUGAAGCCCCAGUAAACGGCGGCCGUAACUAUAACGGUCCUAAGGUAGCGAAAUUCCUUGUCGGGUAAGUUCCGACCCGCACGAAAGGUGUAACGACUUGCGCACUGUCUCAACGAGGGACCCGGUGAAAUUGAAGUACCUGUGAAGAUGCAGGUUACCCGCGACUGGACAGAAAGACCCCAUGGAGCUUUACUGCAACCUAAGAUUGAACUUAGUUAAUGAAUGUACAGGAUAGGUGGGAGACGGAGAACCUAGGACGCCAGUUUUAGGGGAGUCGCUGUUGGGAUACCACCCUUUCAUUAAUUGAUUUCUAACGGGCCGAGUAACGACCGGCCGGACAGUCUUAGGCGGGCAGUUUGACUGGGGCGGUCGCCUCCAAAAGAGUAACGGAGGCGCCCAAAGGUUCCCUCAGAGCGGACGGAAAUCGCUCGAAGAGUGUAAAGGCAGAAGGGAGCUUGACUGCGAGACGGACAGGUCGAGCAGGGACGAAAGUCGGGCUUAGUGAUCCGGUGGUGCCGAGUGGAAGGGCCAUCGCUCAACGGAUAAAAGCUACCCUGGGGAUAACAGGCUAAUCUCUCCCAAGAGUCCAUAUCGACGGGGAGGUUUGGCACCUCGAUGUCGGCUCAUCACAUCCUGGGGCUGAAGUAGGUCCCAAGG